rnacentral:rRNA from 1 species
UACGGGGGGGAGCAAGCGUUGUUCGGAUUUACUGGGCGUAAAGGGCGCGUAGGCGGUCAGCACAAGUCAGUUGUGAAAUCUCCGGGCUUAACUCGGAAAGGUCAACUGAUACUGUGCGACUAGAGUGCGGAAGGGGCAACUGGAAUUCUCGGUGUAGCGGUGAAAUGCGUAGAUAUCGAGAGGAACACCUGCGGCGAAGGCGGGUUGCUGGGCCGACACUGACGCUGAUGCGCGAAAGCGUGGGGGAGCGAACAGG